rnacentral:rRNA from 1 species
UUCGCAAUGCCCGAAAGGGUGACGAAGCGACGCCGCGUGUGGGAAGAAGGCCUUCGGGUUGUAAACCACUGUCGGGAGUUAAGAAAUGCAAGAAUGUUAAGAGCGUUUUUGCUUGACUAAGGCUCCGGAGGAAGCCACGGCUAACUCUGUGCCAGCAGCCGCGGUAAUACAGAGGCGGCAAGCGUUGUUCGGAAUUAUUGGGCGUAAAGAGCACGUAGGCGGCUAUGUAAGUCGGUUGUGAAAGCCUUCCGCUCAACGGAAGAACAGCAUCCGAUACUGCAUGGCUUGAGUGCGGGAGGGGAGAGUGGAACUUCUGGUGGAGCGGUGAAAUGCGUAGAUAUCAGAAGGAACGCCGGCGGCGAAAGCGGCUCUCUGGCCCAUAACUGACGCUGAGUGUGCGAAAGCUAGGGGAGCAAACGGGAUUAGAUACCCCGGUAGUCCUAGCCGUAAACGAUGGGCACUAAGUAGAGGGGUUUU